AGUGAACGCUGGCGGUAGGCCUAACACAUGCAAGUCGAACGGCAGCACAGUAAGAGCUUGCUCUUACGGGUGGCGAGUGGCGGACGGGUGAGGAGUACAUCGGAAUCUACUUUUUCGUGGGGGAUAAUGUAGGGAAACUUACGCUAAUACCGCAUACGACCUACGGGUGAAAGCAGGGGAUCUUCGGACCUUGCGCGAUUGAAUGAGCCGAUGUCGGAUUAGCUAGUUGGCGGGGUAAAGGCCCACCAAGGCGACGAUCCGUAGCUGGUCUGAGAGGAUGAUCAGCCACACUGGAACUGAGACACGGUCCAGACUCCUACGGGAGGCAGCAGUGGGGAAUAUUGGACAAUGGGCGCAAGCCUGAUCCAGCCAUACCGCGUGGGUGAAGAAGGCCUUCGGGUUGUAAAGCCCUUUUGUUGGGAAAGAAAAGCAGCAGGUUAAUACCCCGCUGUUCUGACGGUACCCAAAGAAUAAGCACCGGCUAACUUCGUG
rnacentral:rRNA from 1 species